rnacentral:rRNA from 1 species
GAUGAACGCUAGCUACAGGCUUAACACAUGCAAGUCGAGGGGAAACGACAUUGAAAGCUUGCUUUUGAUGGGCGUCGACCGGCGCACGGGUGAGUAACGCGUAUCCAACCUGCCCACCACUUGGGGAUAACCUUGCGAAAGUAAGACUAAUACCCAAUGAUAUCUCUAGAAGACAUCUGAAAGGGAUUAAAGAUUUAUCGGUGAUGGAUGGGGAUGCGUGUGAUUAGCUUGUUGGCGGGGUAACGGCCCACCAAGGCGACGAUCAGUAGGGGUGCUGAGAGGAAGGGCCCCCACUUUGGAACUGAUACACGGUCCAAACUCCUACGGGAGGCAGCAGUGAGGAAUAUUGGUCAAUGGACGAGAGUCUGAACCAGCCAAGUAGCGUGCAGGAUAACGGCCCUAUGGGUUGUAAACUGCUUUUAUAAGGGAAUAAGGUGAGUCUCGUGAGACUUUUUGCAUGUACCUUAUGAAUAAGGACCGGCUAAUUCCGUGCCAGCCGCCGCAGUAA